rnacentral:misc_RNA from 1 species
GUGAAUCAUCAAAUUUUUGAACGCAAAUUGCACUCUCUUCGGAGAAUAUGCCUGUUUGAGGGUCAGCCUCAAAAAAAUCGACAUAGUUGCUGUUUUGCGGUGACAUUCGUCGGAAAUUGGGCCACUUUAAACCUUUGGGUUUUAAGCGGCUUAAAAUUUUCUUUAAGAUUCUAUGAACGAUUCUCUGAUUUUACUUCUUACAUGUUUAAGGUAUCGAUCUUUAUUAGUCGUGGUCGUUGUAUCG